rnacentral:rRNA from 1 species
AUUGAACGCUGGCGGCAGGCCUAACACAUGCAAGUCGAGCGAGCGGCGGACGGGUGAGUAAUACCUAGGAAUCUGCCUGGUAUUGGGGGAUAACGUCCGGAAACGGGCGCUAAUACCGCAUACCAUCAGAUGUGCCCCGAUGGGAUUAGCUAGUAGGUGGGGUAACGGCUCACCUAGGCGACGAUCCCUAGCUGGUCUGAGAGGAUGACCAGCCACACUGGAACUGAGACACGGUCCAGUCUCCUACGGGAGGCAGCAGUGGGGAAUAUUGCACAAUGGGCGCAAGCCUGAUGCAGCCAUGCCGCGUGUGUGAAGAAGGCCUUCGGGUUGUAAAGCACUUUCAGCGGGGAGGCGUUACCCGCAGAAGAAGCACCGGCUAACUCCGUGCCAGCCGCCGCGGUAAUAC